AUUGAACGCUGGCGGCAGGCUUAACACAUGCAAGUCGAACGAUGAUUUCCCAGCUUGCUGGGAAUGAUUAGUGGCGGACGGGUGAGUAACAUUUAGGAAUCUGCCUAGUAGUGGGGGAUAGCUCGGGGAAACUCGAAUUAAUACCGCAUACGACCUACGGGUGAAAGGGGGCGCAAGCUCUUGCUAUUAGAUGAGCCUAAAUCAGAUUAGCUAGUUGGUGGGGUAAAGGCCCACCAAGGCGACGAUCUGUAACUGGUCUGAGAGGAUGAUCAGUCACACCGGAACUGAGACACGGUCCGGACUCCUACGGGAGGCAGCAGUGGGGAAUAUUGGACAAUGGGGGCAACCCUGAUCCAGCCAUGCCGCGUGUGUGAAGAAGGCCUUUUGGUUGUAAAGCACUUUAAGCAGGGAGGAGAGGCUAAUGGUUAAUACCCAUUAGAUUAGACGUUACCUGCAGAAUAAGCACCGGCUAACUCUGUGCCAGCAGCCGCGGUAUUACAGAGGGGUGCGAGCGUUUAUUCGAAUUACUGGGCGUAAAACGAGUGGUAGUGGCUCAUUAAGUCACAUGUGAAAUCCCCGGGCUUAACCUGGGAACUGCAUGUGAUACUGGUGGUGCUAGAAUAUGUGAGAGGGAAGUAGAAUUCCAGGUGUAGCGGUGAAAUGCGUAGAGAUCUGGAGGAAUACCGAUGGCGAAGGCAGCUUCCUGGCAUAAUAUUGACACUGAGAUUCGAAAGCGUGGGUAGCAAACAGGAUUAGAUACCCUGGUAGUCCACGCCGUAAACGAUGUCUACUAGCCGUUGGGGUCCUUGAGACUUUAGUGGCGCAGUUAACGCGAUAAGUAGACCGCCUGGGGAGUACGGCCGCAAGGUUAAAACUCAAAUGAAUUGACGGGGGCCCGCACAAGCGGUGGAGCAUGUGGUUUAAUUCGAUGCAACGCGAAGAACCUUACCUGGUCUUGACAUAGUGAGAAUCUUUCAGAGAUGAGAGAGUGCCUCCGGGAAUUCACAUACAGGUGCUGCAUGGCUGUCGUCAGCUCGUGUCGUGAGAUGUUGGGUUAAGUCCCGCAACGAGCGCAACCCUUUUCCUUAUUUGCCAGCGGGUUAAGCCGGGAACUUUAAGGAUACUGCCAGUGACAAACUGGAGGAAGGCGGGGACGACGUCAAGUCAUCAUGGCCCUUACGACCAGGGCUACACACGUGCUACAAUGGUAGGUACAGAGGGUUGCUACACAGCGAUGUGAUGCUAAUCUCAAAAAGCCUAUCGUAGUCCGGAUUGGAGUCUGCAACUCGACUCCAUGAAGUCGGAAUCGCUAGUAAUCGCAGAUCAGAAUGCUGCGGUGAAUACGUUCCCGGGCCU
rnacentral:rRNA from 1 species